AGUGAACGCUGGCGGUAGGCCUAACACAUGCAAGUCGAACGGCAGCACAGUAAGAGCUUGCUCUUACGGGUGGCGAGUGGCGGACGGGUGAGGAAUACAUCGGAAUCUACUUUUUCGUGGGGGAUAAUGUAGGGAAACUUACGCUAAUACCGCAUACGACCUACGGGUGAAAGCAGGGGAUCUUCGGACCUUGCGCGAUUGAAUGAGCCGAUGUCGGAUUAGCUAGUUGGCGGGGUAAGGGCCCACCAAGGCGACGAUCCGUAGCUGGUCUGAGAGGAUGAUCAGCCACACUGGAACUGAGACACGGUCCAGACUCCUACGGGAGGCGGCAGUGGGGAAUAUUGGACAAUGGGCGCAAGCCUGAUCCAGCCAUACCGCGUGGGUGAAGAAGGCCUUCGGGUUGUAAAGCCCUUUUGUUGGGAAAGAAAAGCAGCAGGUUAAUACCCCGCUGUUCUGACGGUACCCAAAGAAUAAGCACCGGCUAACUUCGUG
rnacentral:rRNA from 1 species